GCUGGGCAUGGUUGCAUGUGCCUGUAAUCCUAGCUACUUGGGAGGCUGAGGCACAAGAAUUGCUUGAACCCAGGAGGCAGAGGUUGCAGUGAGCCAAGAUUGCGCCACUGCAUUCCAGCCUGGGUGACAGAGUGAGAUUGUGUCUCAA
rnacentral:SRP_RNA from 1 species